AAUCGACAGAACAAAAAGAAUAAAAUAAAAGAGAAAGAUGGAGAGGGAAAAAAUAAAGGAAACUUUCGGCAGGAGAGAAUGAACAAAGAAAUUCAACUUUAGCAAAAUUGGGGAAGAAAAAACAAAGUUUUGAAAAAAAAAUCUAAUCCUAUCACAAUCCCUUAAUUUCUCCUAAUUUUACUCCUUAAAUCUCUCUACAUGACUCCCCACUCAAUUCAAACACCCUAAACCAUCUACAACCUCCCACACAUCUCAAACACUCAGUAUUUUACCACAUUCCAAACUCCUUCACAGCACAAGAACAAAAAAAAAACAUCUCCCUUGCACGUAUAGGGAUUCAAACUCAAGACCCCAGCACACUGACACUCCACUUAACCACCAGACCAGUAGGCCCAUUCUGACAUAUUUUACCAACAUAUAUUUAUAAGCCUACUGAUUAG
rnacentral:lncRNA from 1 species